UACGUAGGGUGCAAGCGUUGUCCGGAAUUAUUGGGCGUAAAGAGCGUGUAGGCGGCUUGGUAGGUCUCGCGUCAAAACCUGAGGCUCAACCUCAGUUCGCGUGGGAAACCACCUAGCUAGAGUCCGGAAGAGGAGAACGGAAUUCCCAGUGUAGCGGUGAAAUGCGCAGAUAUUGGGAAGAACACCAGUGGCGAAGGCGGUUCUCUGGGACGGUACUGACGCUGAGACGCGAAAAGCGUGGGGAGCGAACAGG
rnacentral:rRNA from 1 species